ensembl:lncRNA
GGCAUUUCCUUGUGUGAAUCCUCCCAAGAAUCGACACUCCUCCCGGUCAGACUGCAGUGGGCCACCUCUCACCAUCUGUGCGACGCCUUGGUGGACUCUGGGGCGGAGGGAAGCUUCAUGGAUCAAGGCCUGGCCCGCAAACUCGGGAUCCCCAUCAUUCCCAUCACACAUCCCAUCGCUGUCAACGCUCUGGGUGGUCAACUUCUGUCCUCCGUUACACACUCUACCGGACCGUGUCCUCCGGUCCAGUUGGUUUUGGAGUUUCCUGCCGCUAGUGCUUGUGCCUGGGACUGUUUACUCGAGUUGGCGUGUCACCAUUGUAGCUUCCUGUUUUUCGGUUCGUGUCUUCAAGGAUUCUGUCCACAGCAGUCACUGCACUGCCAAGGAAGAACUGCCGACCAGAGACUUGUGCCUACUACCUGACCUUGUUUGUUCUUUUGAGCAUUUAAAUAAACCAUUGUUCAUUCGCAACUGGAUCCAGUGUUUCUGUCCCUGACAAACGUUAGUAGAACAUUUUAAGAAACUUUUUUUUUGUAACCUUUAAAUAGUAUUUUAAUCAUUGCAAGAAAACUCCAUUCUAUUUUAAUUUUCUAAUUGCGUGUUCCCCAAACUAAACCUUAGGAUAUUGUUUAAGGUCUUUCUUAUGUGUGACGUCAGGUGCUGUCCAUGGCAGGGGUGCUGAAUUGGUUAAUAUUGAUGGCUUGAGAAUCAAUUAUUCAUUGCUUUAUGUGAGAAAGUGGUGUUCUUUAUAAUAAAAAUAGCACAUCAGAAAUAGACAAAUUGUAAGGUCAUCACACGUCGAGUGUGCAAGGCCCCAUUGUGUGUGGCAGUGUGCAUGCAAUUUUUUUGUAACUUUGUGUGCGACUCAGCUUCCAAGGAGUCACGACUGUAUUUCUGAAUCGUUGUGCCAAAUUUUGACCCCAUGCCAAAUUUCUACCCUCCUCGUUGAAGUCGCUACCUGUUUGCCUAAUCCUAACCCCUCCUCCACUCCUGACCCUAAACCUACCAAUAUUGGGAGGUAAUAAUCUGGUGUGGGGGUCAGAAUUGGGCACAACACCGGCAUUUGUGUGCAUUGGAGCAGCCUGAUGUGAAGGUCAAACUCCAUCAGGUGCUUUCUGAGGAUUUGAUGGAAAACAAUGCAAAGAUUUUUUAAGGUUUUUUAAGAGAGGUAAGUUUUAUUAUUUUUAAUAUAUAUAAACAUAGAAUUAUAAUUCAUUUAGAUAGGAUUUAACAUUCGUUGCUUAAUGUUGUCUUGUGUUUGAUAUAAAACAAACCCAAAAGCUGAAAAAGGUUUUUGUGGUGUACCAUUCAUUCGUGUAUUGCAAAUAUACACAAUUACCAUAAAUUGAUGUGACAGACAUUGAUUAACCUUAUAUAAAACCUACACAAAGAUGCAUUUCUUAUAGACGUGCAAACAAAAUCGCCUGAUUUUGUAAAUAUGACCAACAACAUUUGCAUUAAGCACCCAGUUUGUGCUUAUCUAUAAUUUAAAUUAAUAGCUUACAUUUACAAAAUGAGCCUACGAUAAGCCUUUUUAAUGAAAGUAAAGGCCCAUGUUU